CUGAACGCUGGCGGCGUGGUUAAGACAUGCAAGUCGCACGGACGUAGCAAUACGUUAGUGGCGCAAGGGUGAGUAAUGUAUCGCUAAUGUACCCCCGGACUUUGGGAUAGCUACCCGAAAAGGGCAGGUAAUACCAGAUGAUAUAAUUUGGCCCGCAUGGCCCGAAUUCUCAAAGGUCCGCCGGUCUGGGAGCAGGCGAUAUCGUAUCAAGCUAGUUUGGUGAGGUAAACGGCUCACCAAGGCGACGACGCGUAGCCGGACUGAGAGGUCGGUCGGCCACAUCGGGACUGAGACACUGCCCGGACUCCUACGGGGGGGCUGCAGUAACGAAUCUUCCCCAAUGGGCGCAAGCCUGAGGGAGCGACGGCCGCGUGUAGGAUGAAGUUUCUUCGGAAUGUAAACUACUUGUCAGGGGUUAGAAAGUUCUGAUCAACCCCAAAGGAAGAGGCGGCUAACUCUGUGCCAGCAGCCGCGGUAAGACAGAGGCCUCGAGCGUUAGGCGGAAUCACUGGGCUUAAAGCGUGUGUAGGGCGGAUCGUUAAAGUGCCUUGUGAAAUCCCCACGGCUCAACCGUGGAACUGCUUGGCAUUACUGGCGGUCUUGAGCCAUCUAGGGGUUGCUGGAAACAAACGGUGGAGCGGUGAAAUGCGUAGAUAUCGUUUGGAACGCCAAUGGUUGAAAAACAGGCAACUGGGGAUGUGCUGACGGCUGAGACACGAAAGCCAGGGGAGCAAAACGGGAUUAGAUACCCCGGUAGUCCUGGCCCUAAACGAUGUCCACUAGAUCGUGGAACCUCUGACGGUUUCACGGUCGAAGGCAAAAGUGCUAAGUGGACCGCCUGGGAAGUACGGUUCGCAAGGCUAAAACUCAAAGGAAUUGACGGGGGCUCACACAAGCGGUGGAGCAUGUGGUUCAAUUCGAAGCAACGCGCAGAACCUUACCUGGGCUUGACAUGCUAGGAUUAUCCCUAUGAAAGUAGGGUAGGCCCUUCGGGGUACAACUAGUACAGGUGCUGCAUGGCUGUCGUCAGCUCGUGUCGUGAGAUGUCGGGUUAAGUCCCAUAACGAGCGAAACCUUUGCCCUUAGUUACCAGCGGGUUAUGCCGGGGGACUCUAAGGGGACUGCCGGUGUCAAACCGGAGGAAGGUGGAGAUGACGUCAAGGUCCUCAUGGCCUUUAUGCCCAGGGCCACACACGUGCUACAAUGGGAUGGACAAAGCGAACCUAAACCGCAAGGUGGUGGAAAUCGCAAAAAUCAUCCCCCCAGUUCAGAUCGGAGGCUGCAACUCGCCUCCGUGAAGUUGGAAAUCGCUAGUAAUCGCGGAUCAGCUACGCCGCGGUGAAUGUGUUCCUGAGGCCUUGUACACAACCGCCCGUCAAGUCAUGGGAGCCGGAAAUAGCCGAAGGUCGCUGCACUACCGCAGUUGCCUACGCUAGGUUCGGUGACUGGGACU
rnacentral:rRNA from 1 species